GUGGGGAAUAUUGGACAAUGGGCGCAAGCCUGAUCCAGCCAUGCCGCGUGAGUGAUGAAGGCCUUAGGGUUGUAAAGCUCUUUCAGUAGGGAAGAUAAUGACGGUACCUACAGAAGAAGCCCCGGCUAACUUCGUGCCAGCAGCCGCGGUAAUACGAAGGGGGCUAGCGUUGUUCGGAUUUACUGGGCGUAAAGCGCACGUAGGCGGAUUGGUCAGUUAGAGGUGAAAUCCCGAAGCUCAACUUCGGAACUGCCUUUAAUACUGCCAGUCUCGAGUCCGGAAGAGGUGAGUGGAACUCCUAGUGUAGAGGUGGAAUUCGUAGAUAUUAGGAAGAACACCAGUGGCGAAGGCGGCUCACUGGUCCGGUACUGAUGCUGAGGUGCGAAAGCGUGGGGAGCAAACAGGAUUAGAAACCCGAGUAGUCC
rnacentral:rRNA from 1 species